rnacentral:misc_RNA from 1 species
UGCGAGGAAAGCAAAGUCUGGGCCAUGGAGAUGAGCCUAGUCCUGCUGUUCCUGAUCCGCACUGCCCUUUUUGCACCCCAGGGAGCUGCUGCUGAGCCCCACAGUCUUUGUUACAACCUCACGGUGCUGUCCCAGGAUGGAUCUGUGCAGUCAGGGUUUCUCGCUGAGGGACAUCUGGAUGGUCAGCUCUUCCUGCUCUGUGACAGGCAGAAAGGCAGGGCAGGGCCCUGGGGACAGUGGGCAGAAGCAGUCCUGGGAGCUGAGACCUGGGACACAGAGACUGAAGACUUGACAGAGAAUGGGCAGGAGCUCAGGAGGACCCUGGCUCAUAUCAAGGGCCAGAAAGGAG